AAAUCCCAGAACUUUGGGAGGCCGAGGUGGGCAGAUCACCUGAGGUCAGGAGUUCCAGACCAGCCUGGCCAACAUGGUGAAAUCCCGUCUCUACUAAAAUUACAAAAAUUAGCCAGGCAUGAUGGCAGAUGCCUGGUAAUCCCAGCUACUCAGGAGGCUGAGGCAGGAGAACAGCUUGAACCCAGGUGGCAGAGGUUGCAGUGAGCUGAGAUCAUGCCACUGCACUCCAGCCUGGGCGACAAGAGCGAGACUCCGUCUCAAAAAAAAAAAAAGAACAGAAAUAAUCAAACCACAGCAUCAAUUCAUUCAUUCAUUCCACUAACAUUUAUUAAGCAGCAAGCUCCGAAGCAGACGUUUACCAGUUUUGCACAACUUUGUCAUGGACCAGCUGGCCUUGUGGCUCAGUGGCAUCUGGAGGCAAGAGGGCCAAGUAGACAGGGGUCUCAGCCCCCUCCUCCACAGUCCUGAUGCUGUCUUUCCCAUCCAUGUCUGUCUUCACUGGUCCUGGGCAGCACGCAUUCACCAGAAUCCUGUCAGCUUUCCUCUUCUCAUCCAGAUGCCUGGCCAGGAUCCUCGAUAAGACCGUGACCCCCAACUUGGACACCCCAUAAGGAAAACUAGACAAUCCACCAGCCCAGGAGGGGACAAGCAGGAUUAAUCCUCCUCCUCGUCAUCUCUGGCUCCAGCCCCACCCUGGCCCUUGCUGGCAUUCUUCCUCUUCACGUGGCUGGGUUUGGCCACCCCAAUAGGGAAGCAGAGGGAGAAGUCGAUGUGCUUCUGGGAAUCCAGGCGGAUAGUGAAGAACAGGAUAUUUACCACCUGCUCACGGACACGGAUAUGACACUGUUGGAUCAGCACAUGAGCGUGGCAGAUGGACUUAGCCAAGC
rnacentral:antisense_RNA from 1 species